rnacentral:lncRNA from 1 species
UAAUCAAAAAUAGGAAAAUAAAAUUUAAACGUUAGCAUAAAUGUUGACUAAUCUUUAAUAUUUUCCCUUUAGAUCCUUUUUAAUAUGGCGGUUCCUUAAUGACCUCAUCAUCAUCUAAGAAGUGACAUCUUUUUGGAGGGAGAACACCAGUACAAGCCUAGGUGCCUGUGCUCUGGAGUUUGUGCUGCGUCAGAGAACACUGCAAAUACGUUGAUUUCACCCGGGACACGGCAUCGCAGGAGUUUGGAAAAGUGACUCUCUUUCAUACGGUAAAAAAAGUUAUUUUGGUCCAAGUUGAUAAAUUAUUUU